AAUCGAAAUGACAAGCAAUCGGAAUAAACCAGACAAAUAUCAAGACAACAAUGAGACUACGCUAGACUACGAUCACAGACUUGUAGCCACAGUCACGCACUCACCGUUACUUGAUCUGAUACGGAUUCUGACACCUCUUGAUGCUUGGAUUCACGGACAGAAAUCUCCGACGAUUCGCAAAUCACCGGAAACUACAAACAUGAAACAGAUAUGUCGUUCCCUUACUUAAAACAUCGAGAAAAGAUCGAUAAACACCAAGUUUAACCGAUACUUACCCGAGUUACUCAACUUCUCUACGGAUUCUCGAUCACAGCUUGAUCUCUCGGAAAACUCUAACUUUCUCGGAAUAAUUCUCUCGGAAAUUGCAGCUUU
rnacentral:lncRNA from 1 species